rnacentral:lncRNA from 1 species
AUUGACCAAUUUAUAAUGUUACAAAAUGUCCCCUAUUAUACUUAUUAAUAAUGGUCCUUGUCUUUUAAUAAAUAUUGAUCUCUUCAGAGUUCACUAGUUACUCCAUUGGUCUUAACUGACAACACUUAUAGCACAUAGGAUCUCUAGUUGUUCCAACUGACAAGAGAUAGAGUACAUAGGAACUCAAUUAGUCUCAAUUGACAACCAAUUGCUUUUAAGGUUAUAUGGGAUAUUACAUUCAC